UUGUCUUUUAUUAAGUUUUCCUAAAGUUUUUUUUUUCAUCUUAAUCUAAUAUGCAUUAAAUUUUUUAACUGCAGGUUCUAGCCAGAUCACGACACUACAAAAGUCUUGCUGGAUGUUGUUCAGAGGCUUUAUGGCGAUCAUUUUUAUACUUCAUGGGGUGAAAUCCCAUAUGAUACUCGACAGGCUAUGUUUAGAGAGUUUAACAUGUAUUGUACAUGGGAUCCAAUGGACAAUGAUAGGGUUGCUGCAAACUUUAAGAGGAAGGGGAGUGCAAGGUUGUCUGAUUGGUUUCGAGGGCUAGAAGGUAUAUGAGGAUGCCCCAAUGGCUAAACGCUGAACAGUAGGAGAAACUUAAGGCAUAUUGGCGAACUCCUGAGUUUAUCGCCAAGUCUGAGCAGGCAAAGGCUGCCCGUGCAUCCCAGAAAGGUGGGUCUUCGCACACUGCGGGUGCAAGAAGUCAGGGGCACGUGGCUAGGACAAUGAAAAAAGCUACGGGACAGAUGCCAACUCAGGAUCAGCUAUUCCUAAAGACCCACACAAAAAAGAAGAAACAGGAGUCGAAUCCGACCGUAUGGGUUGAGGACAGGGCUCGUAAUUCCUAUACGCAAUUUAUGAAUGAUGUGGACCAGUACAACCAAACUUAGCCUGAGCAUCCGAGCCGUCCUCCACCGGAAUUAGAGAUAGAUUUUUAGUGUAGAGCAGUUGGGGGAGUACAAAAGGGUAGAGCGUACGGUCUAGGUCCAAGGAACAACUUAAGUCGCCUUCGGUCAGGAUUGCGAGGUGAAGGGUCUUCUCUACAAGCCGAGGGAGUUGAUGGUGUUCAGGUCGCAGCUAUGGCGCAGUAAAUUGCUGAACUUAAUAAGAAAUUAGCUGAGACUGAGGCAAAAAGAGUUGAGGAAAGUAACACCAUGAAAGCGAGCCUUGAAUCGCUAAUGGCACAAGUUAAAAGCCAUAUUGCAUGUGGACAAUUUGCUGUGCCCCCUUCCCCCCCCCCCCCCCCUCCGACCCAGAAGAUGAUGAUGACAGUGAUUACGUAGCCCGGACACCGAAUGAUCAGUUGUAGUAGUUUGGAUUUAAUAAUGAACUUAUGUUAAAACUAGUUAAUGGUACUUUUGG